rnacentral:misc_RNA from 1 species
GAUGAAGAACGCAGCGAAAUGCGAUAAGUAAUGUGAAUUGCAGAAUUCAGUGAAUCAUCGAAUCUUUGAACGCACAUUGCGCCCGCCAGUAUUCUGGCGGGCAUGCCUGUUCGAGCGUCAUUUCAACCCUCAAGCCCAGCUUGGUGUUGGGGAUCGGCACAGGCGCCCUCGGGCGCCCGCCGUCCCCUAAAUCUAGUGGCGGUCCCGCUGCAGCCUCCUCUGCGUAGUAGUUUUCUCCUCGCAAGGGCAGCUCGGUGGCGACCUCGCCGUAAAACCCCCAACUUCUGAAAGGUUGACCUCGAAUCAGGUAGGAAUACCCGCUGAACGUAAGCAUAUCAAUAAGCGGAGGA